UACGUAGGUGGCAAGCGUUGUCCGGAUUUACUGGGCGUAAAGGGCGUGCAGGCGGUUUGUUAAGUCUAGGGUGAAAGCUCCCGGCUCAACUGGGAGAGGUCCUUGGAUACUGGCAGACUUGAGGAGGGUAGAGGAGAGUGGAAUUCCCGGUGUAGUGGUGAUAUGCGUAGAUAUUGGGAGGAACACCAGUGGCGAAGGCGGUCCCCUGGGCCGGAACUGACGCUGAGGCGCGAAAGCGUGGGUAGCAAACGGG
rnacentral:rRNA from 1 species